GAUGAACGCUGGCGGUGUGCCUAAUACAUGCAAGUCGAGCGAACAGAUAAGGAGCUUGCGCCUUUAACGUUAGCGGCGGACGGGUGAGUAACACGUGGGUAACCUACCUAUAAGACUGGAAUAACUCCGGGAAACCGGGGCUAAUGCCGGAUAACAUUUAGAACCGCAUGGUUCUAAAGUGAAAGAUGGUUUUGCUAUCACUUAUAGAUGGACCCGCGCCGUAUUAGCUAGUUGGUAAGGUAACGGCUUACCAAGGCAACGAUACGUAGCCGACCUGAGAGGGUGAUCGGCCACACUGGAACUGAGACACGGUCCAGACUCCUACGGGAGGCAGCAGUAGGGAAUCUUCGACAAUGGGCGAAAGCCUGACGGAGCAACGCCGCGUGAGUGAUGAAGGUCUUCGGAUCGUAAAGCUCUGUUAUUAGGGAAGAAAAAAAGUGUAAGUAACUGUGGCCGUCUUGACGGUACCUAAUCAGAAAGCCACGGCUAACUUCGUG
rnacentral:rRNA from 1 species